rnacentral:rRNA from 1 species
GUGGGGAAUUUUGGACAAUGGGCGCAAGCCUGAUCCAGCAAUGCCGCGUGCAGGACGAAGGCCUUCGGGUUGUAAACUGCUUUUGUACAGAACGAAAAGCCUUGGGUGAAUACCCUGAGGACAUGACGGUACUGUAAGAAUAAGCACCGGCUAACUACGUGCCAGCAGCCGCGGUAAUACGUAGGGUGCGAGCGUUAAUCGGAAUUACUGGGCGUAAAGCGUGCGCAGGCGGUUUUGUAAGACAGAGGUGAAAUCCCCGGGCUCAACCUGGGAACUUCCUUUGUGACUGCAAGGCUGGAGUGCGGCAGAGUGGGAUGGAAUUCCGCGUGUAGCAGUGAAAUGCGUAGAUAUGCGGAGGAACACCGAUGGCGAAGGCAAUCCCCUGGGCCUGCACUGACGCUCAUGCACGAAAGCGUGGGGAGCAAACAGGAUUAGAUACCCGUGUAGUCC